CACGUAGGGGCCAAGCGUUGUCCGGAUUUACUGGGCGUAAAGAGCGCGCAGGCGGUCGUUCAAGUCGCGUGUGAAAGCCCCCGGCUCAACUGGGGAGGGUCACGCGAUACUGAUCGACUCGAAGGCAGGAGAGGGUAGUGGAAUUCCCGGUGUAGUGGUGAAAUGCGUAGAUAUCGGGAGGAACACCAGUGGCGAAGGCGACUACCUGGCCUGUUCUUGACGCUGAGGCGCGAAAGCUAGGGGAGCAAACGGG
rnacentral:rRNA from 1 species